rnacentral:rRNA from 1 species
UUCCGGUUGAUCCCGCCGGACCUGACUGCUAUCGGAUUGAUACUAAGCCAUGCGAGUCUUUGUAGUAAUACAAGGCAUACGGCUCAGUAACGCGUAGUCAACCUACCCUAUGGACAAGAAUAAUCUCGGGAAACUGAGCAUAAUUCUUGAUAGAUCAUAAUGCCUGGAAUGGUUUAUGGUUAAAAUGAUUCGUCGCCAUAGGAUGGGACUGCGGCCUAUCAGCUUGUUGGUGAGGUAAUGGCCCACCAAGGCGAUUACAGGUACGGGCUCUGAGAGGAGAAGCCCGGAGAUGGGUACUGAGACAAGGACCCAGGCCCCAUGGGGCGCAGCAGGCGAGAAAACUUUGCAAUGUGCGAAAGCACGACAAGGUUAGUCCGAGUGAUUUCUGCUAAAGAGAUCUUUUGCUAGUUAUAAAACCACUAGUGAAUAAGGGGUGGGCAAGUUCUGGUGUCAGCCGCCGCGGUAAAACCAGCACCUCAAGUGGUCAGGAUGAUUAUUGGGCCUAAAGCAUCCGUAGCCGGCUCUGUAAGUUUUCGGUUAAAUCCAUGUGCUCAACGCAUGGGCUGCCGAAAAUACUGCAUAGCUAGGGAGUGGGAGAGGUAGACGGUACUCGGUAGGAAGGGGUAAAAUCCUUUGAUCUAUCGAUGACCACCUGUGGCGAAGGCGGUCUACCAGAACACGUUCGACGGUGAGGGAUGAAAGCUGGGGGAGCAAACCGGAUUAGAUACCCGGGUAGUCCCAGCUGUAAACGAUGCAGACUCGAUGAUGCAUUGGCAUAUAGCCAGUGCAGUGUCGCAGGGAAGCCGUUAAGUCUGCCGCCUGGGAAGUACGUACGCAAGUAUGAAACUUAAAGGAAUUGGCGGGGGAGCACCACAAGGGGUGAAGCCUGCGGUUCAAUUGGAUUCAACGCCGGG